UACGUAGGUGGCAAGCGUUGUCCGGAUUUAUUGGGUUUAAAGGGUGCGUAGGCGGCUUUGUAAGUCAGUGGUGAAAUAUGGCAGCUUAACUGUCAGGGUGCCAUUGAUACUGCGAGGCUUGAGUACAGAUGAGGUAGGCGGAAUUGACGGUGUAGCGGUGAAAUGCUUAGAUAUCGUCAAGAACACCGAUAGCGAAGGCAGCUUACUGGGCUGUAACUGACGCUGAGGCACGAAAGUGUGGGGAUCAAACAGG
rnacentral:rRNA from 1 species